AGUGGAGUGAAAGAAGUCAUCUUGCACCCAUGAGAGCUCAGCGAGUAAGCACUGGUUAGAUUGCCUCUUAAAGCAGUGGCAUGGCCUGUACUCAAGAGCAAUCAGAGGGGCUGCCGGGCAGGGCAUGAGGCCACGGUGACUGUGCGGAGUCCAGUUGUCAAACGCCAAGGGAGUGAGGUGAGGCUGUCACGAAUGUCCCCACGCUCAGCUGUCAGCUUCUGUGGAGAAGCUAGAAUACCAAACUAUAUUUACUGUUUACAGUAGCAAAUGACAACAAAUCGUGUACAAAUUGGUGACUAAACACAACGAAGCCAGCAGACAUCCCACCCGAGCCCACACGGUGAAACAGCAAACAGGAACAUUUUCUGCAGGAUUCUAAGCAAGCAGAUGAUGGGUCAGUGUCAAGUGACCGUAAAAGGCAGAGAAUGGCCAUCAAGCAGCAAUGGACCCCUACAGAAGGACAGCAGGCAGAACCACGAACAUUUUAACUGGUAUAAACCCCAAAUGCAGAAGUGAAGUCACGACGGGGGCAUAGUUUCAGGUACAUCUGGAGAGCGGCAGAGCCCACGUCCAUGAGAAUGCGCUCGCCUUUUCGUGGGUUUCUUUUGCAAGGACCCUUCGAAGCUGCCCUUUUUGUAGAACCAGCAUCACACCAUCUUCAGACUCUGACUGCUUUCUCACUGCAAUCCUCCCUUUUCCAGAAGUGACCCCAACACCCCUCCCAAUUUAUCACGUUCCUGAAGUGACCUGGACCACCCAUCCUCAUCAUCACUGGAAUGACCCAAGCCACCUGUCUGGUUAUCACUUUCCUAAAGUGGCUCAAACCCUGAGGCAAGGGGAACUGUCCAGCAACCAAGGAAAUUCAAUGUCCCCACUACCCCAAUAGGUAUUCCCUAGUCUGUAAGGCUUUUUUUAAAGAGUCUUGCUCUAGCCCAGGCUGACCUGAAAUUCACUGUGUAGUCUCAGGGUGGCCUUGAACUCACUGUGAUCCUUUUACCUCUAGCUCCUGAGUGCUGGGAUUAAAAGCCUAUACCACCAAACCUGGCUUGGGAGAUGGCUUUUUGACCUGCCUUGUCAAAGCCCUCCUCUGAAUAAAGCCCUGAAUAAAGCCUCUUUCUACGUUGA